rnacentral:rRNA from 1 species
GAUGAACGCUGGCGGCGUGCCUAAUACAUGCAAGUCGAGCGAACAGACGAGGAGCUUGCACCUCCGACGUUAGCGGCGGACGGGUGAGUAACACGUGGAUAACCUACCUAUAAGACUGGGAUAACUUCGGGAAACCGGAGCUAAUACCGGAUAAUAUAUUUAACCGCAUGGUUCAAUAGUGAAAGACGGAUUUGCUUUCACUUAUAGAUGGAUCGGGGUGGCAUUAGCUAGUUGGUAAGGUAACGGCUUACCAAGGCAACGAUGCGUAGCGGACCUGAGAGGGUGAUCGGCCACACGGGAACUGAGACACGGUCCAGACUCCUACGGGAGGCAGCAGUAAGGAAUCUUCCGCAAUGGGGGAAAGCCUGACGGAGCAACGCCGCGUGAGUGAUGAAGGUCUUCGGAUCGUAAAACUCUGUUAUUAGGGAAGAACAAAUGUGUAAGUAACUAUGCACGUCUUGACGGUACCUAAUCAGAAAGCCACGGCUAACUACGUG